AGCAGUCGAAGUGUUCGGAUCUCUUCCAUCGGGUUUGUUUUGGGUUUUGCAAGUGCCCUUUUGUCGGCGUCGAAGGUCGUUCGUCGAUUACGCAAUUUUGGGCAAACCUCGUGCGAAUAAAAUGCUCUGCAAAAAAAUAUGUGUCGACAAUAAGAAUCAAGUAAUUGACUUACAAAAAUAAGUCAGCUCUGGAAUGAGAAUCCUGUAUUAUCUUACUACUGUUUUCUUGUGCGUUCCGCACGAUGUCAUUUUUGGCGCGUGUCAAGUGGCUCCGCCGGCGACUUGAUGGCAAACUAAGUCUGCGUGGUUGUCAACUCGUUCAUUUAUAUGAUGGGCAACAAAGCAAGAGGACCUCCAGGACCAAGAAAAGACCCAGGGAAGUACCCAAUAAUAAUAAGUUGGUUAUGAGAACGCAAGCAAAAUCAAACAAAUCAUUGAGAGUUCUCUCAUUCAUUCAUUCAUUCAUUUGCUUUUGCUUGUAUUGUAUUUUAGUUUUGAGCAAUUUUUUUAACAACUUGU